AAUAAGGAUUUUUCAUACGAAUGUGAACCGUGUCCUGAUAAAACAUACUCGGACACGCACGACGGCAACUGCAAAUCAAUAACUCAGUGCAGUGACAGCGGCCUCUUUGAAGUCUUUCCAGGAAACAAAACCCACAAUGCAAGAUGCUCUCUAUAUGAUGCAGAGGUACCAUAUCGGUGGGAAUCAACGAUCAGUGUCAUUAACUUGGCUUGUAGCAUCUUGCUGCUGCUCAUCCUUCUCUAUGCCUGUGUGAAGAAAACUAUGAGGCACACACAUGCGAACGACAUUGCUGUGUUUGCCCCUGUAUCUACAACCACACCAGAAUAUCCAUACCCAAAAGAGGAGAUUGGAGAAAAGUUUUCCAUUUGCCAACUAUGAUGUUCUGAUGCCAUGAUGUAUCCAAGGACAAUAUUAUUGGUGACUUACAAAGCAUUUAGAAACUAAUAUAGAUCUGAGAACACUUGUUGACUCAAUAGAUAUGGUUAUCAAAGAGAUACAUGGGUUUGAAAGGCUAUAUAGUCAGUGUCACUAUGUCCCCAUUGUAUUUGUGACAAUUUAGCUGCUUAUUUUCUGCAGUAUGUACGAUGAUGUAUUUUUUCAUAUCUAUAUUUUUUUAUUUUAUUGAAUGUAAUAUAUAACUAUCCUGUCCAUGGUGAGUAGAGACAGUUGACGUUGAAGGGCUUAACAAGUUGCACAGAUGUGGCAAUUCUUUCUGUUGGACUAAUUAGACGUACAAUGGCAAGCUUUUAAAAUCGCACAAUUCCUACAGAAUUGUCCAUAAUGCUAAAGCAUUGUGGUAGUGCUGAGCUUGGAUUAACUUAAUAAAAAAACAAUCAUAACAUUUC